rnacentral:ncRNA from 1 species
CCGGACACCCUAGCAGAGCCGCACCGGGCACCAAAGCGGCCCCGCCCCAUCAAAUA